GACGUAGGAGGCGAGCGUUGUCCGGAUUCAUUGGGCGUAAAGAGCGCGCAGGCGGCUUGGUAAGUUGGAUGUGAAAUCCCGAGGCUCAACCUCGGGUCUGCAUCCGAUACUGCCCGGCUAGAGGUAGGUAGGGGAGAUCGGAAUUCCUGGUGUAGCGGUGAAAUGCGCAGAUAUCAGGAGGAACACCGGUGGCGAAGGCGGAUCUCUGGGCCUUACCUGACGCUCAGGCGCGAAAGCUAGGGGAGCGAACUGG
rnacentral:rRNA from 1 species